rnacentral:rRNA from 1 species
UGAAUAUGGGGGGACCAUCCUCCAAGGCUAAAUACUCCUGACUGACCGAUAGUGAACCAGUACCGUGAGGGAAAGGCGAAAAGAACCCCGGCGAGGGGAGUGAAAAAGAACCUGAAACCGUGUACGUACAAGCAGUGGGAGCACAGAGCAAUCUGUGUGACUGCGUACCUUUUGUAUAAUGGGUCAGCGACUUAUAUUCUGUAGCAAGGUUAACCGAAUAGGGGAGCCGAAGGGAAACCGAGUCUUAACUGGGCGUUAAGUUGCAGGGUAUAGACCCGAAACCCGGUGAUCUAGCCAUGGGCAGGUUGAAGGUUGGGUAACACUAACUGGAGGACCGAACCGACUAAUGUUGAAAAAUUAGCGGAUGACUUGUGGCUGGGGGUGAAAGGCCAAUCAAACCGGGAGAUAGCUGGUUCUCCCCGAAAGCUAUUUAGGUAGCGCCUCGUGAAUUCAUCUCCGGGGGUAGAGCACUGUUUCGGCAAGGGGGUCAUCCCGACUUACCAACCCGAUGCAAACUGCGAAUACCGGAGAAUGUUAUCACGGGAGACACACGGCGGGUGCUAACGUCCGUCGUGAAGAGGGAAACAACCCAGACCGCCAGCUAAGGUCCCAAAGUCAUGGUUAAGUGGGAAACGAUGUGGGAAGGCCCAGACAGCCAGGAUGUUGGCUUAGAAGCAGCCAUCAUUUAAAGAAAGCGUAAUAGCUCACUGGUCGAGUCGGCCUGCGCGGAAGAUGUAACGGGGCUAAACCAUGCACCGAAGCUGCGGCAGCGACGCUUAUGCGUUGUUGGGUAGGGGAGCGUUCUGUAAGCCUGUGAAGGUGUACUGUGAGGUAUGCUGGAGGUAUCAGAAGUGCGAAUGCUGACAUAAGUAACGAUAAAGCGGGUGAAAAGCCCGCUCGCCGGAAGACCAAGGGUUCCUGUCCAACGUUAAUCGGGGCAGGGUGAGUCGACCCCUAAGGCGAGGCCGAAAGGCGUAGUCGAUGGGAAACAGGUUAAUAUUCCUGUACUUGGUGUUACUGCGAAGGGGGGACGGAGAAGGCUAUGUUGGCCGGGCGACGGUUGUCCCGGUUUAAGCGUGUAGGCUGGUUUUCCAGGCAAAUCCGGAAA